AUUGCUGUCGCUUUCGGUAGGCUCGGCACACGAUAGGACGUAUGAAACGACCAGAAUAUCCGAGACGAAGUAUAGGUAAUGGAACAUGGGAGUAGGGGGUUGAUGGAUACCUCACCGCGCACUGAAAAACACACAAAAAAGGAAGAAAAGAAAAAAGCGCAUAAUCGGAGAACGCUGGCCUAAGUAAACGUUUUGUCCACAAAAAAAUACAGCAUGCAGUGCCGUGAAUCGCUGGGCGCAUGCGUUGAGCCCGCCCUAUGGGAAGAUCCAACUGUGCUGUGUCUGCACACCAAGGAUGGAGCUUUGCUGCCCGCUGCUCGCUUCCGCGGAUUGCGUCUGUGUACGUGUCCAUUCUUUUCCAUGCUGGAUGCGUGAUGACAUGAAUCAGACGAUUCCGAAAGCAAACUUGUUGCCGUCUGCCAGAGAUUAGACCGUCGUUUCUUCAAGGAUGCCUCAACGAGAUCUGUGCUUCAGGGCAGCAAUCCUCGUGGAUGCAAGGCUUGAUACGACCAAUAGCACUUCUGGCGCCAAGCUUGACGCACCUGUCGCACUGGAACGAGGCAGCCUCGGUGCGUCUUCGAGAGCGUUGACUUUUGGUACUGGUCGCGAGUCUACGAACCAGGAUCCGCUAGUAUUACGGGCCUCGACAGGCUCUUUGUCUUGAUGGUACGAGCGGACGACUGCGACAUUCUCGCCGGCACCACGCAGCGCUAGACAUGGAUGUUGCCGGAGAAGCAUUUCGGUUCCUGAAACGCAAGCUUCGGACAGCAAUCUGGGCGAAGAUAUAUGCUGCAGCACUCUUGAUAUCAAGGACGCUUCCGCCAGCGCAUGACCUCCAUUCUAGACGUUCACAAUGCAAAAGCUUUUCACCGCAUCGCUCACGAGUAGGCGUCCGUGGUUUCUUCAGUAUUCAGAGCCUCGAUUCAAGGCGUGUCCAUCGCGUGCACGGGCCAGUAAGGUGCCACGCCCGGCGGCGCACAUGAAAAGUGAACAAGGCACAAAUCGAAACUCUCCCUCUGCGUCAAAUUAUGGUCAUGGCAAUCGUGCUCCCGGGUCUAGGUUCCGAUUCCGAGCGUCCGAAAUAAGACCAUUUCGAGGCCCCGAUAGCACGUUGUUAUGAUCGAGCCUGCCACCGCAUCAUGUCGUGCGGGGCCUCUGUUUCAGGCUGAGCUGCGCUCAUCCUCCGCGAUCGCAUCGAAGUAGCGGCACGCGCUGCUUCUGAUGUAUUCGCUGACCCGUUCAACGGUAGCGGGUCCUGAAAUUCAAGUUUUAACUCGUUCCAAAUUAUUAAAAUAUAGAAUGAAAGCAAUGCAAAAUGAAGCAUGUCUGUCAGCGUUCACGAUCGACUUGACGAGAUGUUUCUAUGCUAGAGGAAAACGGCGCACAAUGUCGAAGAAUGUGCCCGUGCACAAUGAUGUUGUACGCUCGCAACGUAUAAGUGCAUGCGCAGCCGCAGAAACUCGGUACCAGCAAUGCAUGUGUGCGCUCCGAACACGAGCAUGAAACAUCGAUGAAAAUAAUUUCGCAGAAUCUCUCUGAGAAUCCGUCCAUAUGCACCAAGAUGAAAUGGUGCCGUCGUGCAAACCCUCUCCGGCGUUCCAACGCGCAUUUGAGUGAAUAAAAAGCGUCUCCAUAAAGACGGCUCGCCCAUGUGCACCCUUUCCAGCACGCGGCUGGUGUAACUGGAACGCCCCGCGGACUGCCGG